rnacentral:misc_RNA from 1 species
GAUGAAGAACGCAGCGAAAUGCGAUACGUAAUGUGAAUUGCAGAAUUCAGUGAAUCAUCGAGUCUUUGAACGCACAUUGCGCCCCCUGGUAUUCCGGGGGGCAUGCCUGUCCGAGCGUCAUUGCUGCCCUCAAGCACGGCUUGUGUGUUGGGCCUCCGUCCUCCUCCCGGGGGACGCGCCCGAAAGGCAGCGGCGGCACCGCGUCCGGUCCUCGAGCGUAUGGGGCUUCGUCACCCGCUCUUGUAGGCCCGGCCGGCGCUUGCCGACACAUCAAUCUUUUUUCCAGGUUGACCUCGGAUCAGGUAGGGAUACCCGCUGAACUUAAGCAUAUCAAUAAGCGGAGGA